rnacentral:lncRNA from 1 species
UCUAGGACUCAGAAAUAUAGAUGUUAGUAAGAGCAAACAGACAUAACAGAUAACACAUACAAAGUGCCUACCACAUGCUAACCACUGCUGCAGGCACUUUCUAUAGAAGAACUAAUUUAAUCAUCACCAUAACCCUAUGGGGUAGAUGAUAUUUUUACAACCUCCAUUUUACAGAUGAAGAAACUGAAGCAUAGACCUGCUUAUGUGAGAAGAAACGCAGGGAGACAGUUCAGUCACUGCAAUCUUCAUGCCCAUCAGUUUCUUGUGAGAAGAAAACAAGACUGGCAACGCCUGCUUCCUCCUCUGAGCUGUCAAGUAGGAAGUCCGGGCUGCUCUGCUAGAAAGAGAAGUCAUGUGCAGGAGCACUGAGGCAUCCCAGGUGUGACACUCUUCCACCUAGAGCAUUCCGUCUCUCAUCCUCUGCCAUGUAGCAAACUGCUAUGCAUCCUUCAGCUGCAAGGGAUUGAAUGCUAUCAACAACCAUACAAGUGGAGAAGCAGAUGCUUCCCUAGCUGAGCCUCAGGCUUUUUGAUGGAAUUGCUACAACUUGGUGCAUGCCUGCUCCUAAAAGAAAUACUCAGGAAUUGUCUCAUAAAGUCCUCACCUACUGGCAAAAACAAGAUGUUCUACUCCCAGGUUGACUUUUUCAAGCCCCAAGAUGUUGAGUCAGCCAUUCUCCAAGGAUCUCGAUUUCCUUUUAAUGGAAAAUAACAUUAAACACCAAAUAUAAGCCUCGCUGUCCCACAUGCGUAUUGGGGACAAGAUGAAACCUGCUUCCAGGCUACUUUGGCAGCAGAACUGAAAAAGGCUUUUUUUCCAGAUAUAUGAUUUCUCAUCGACAGGGUUGCACAGCCCUCUUUAUUGUUCGUGUAAAUGACACCCUUGGAUCUGAACAAUACACACCAGGACAAUUGUGUGCAACAGUUCUACAAACUGAUAUUUCUAAUUA